rnacentral:rRNA from 1 species
CCUACGGGAGGCAGCAGUGAGGGAAUAUUGGACAAUGGGCGCAAGCCUGAUCCAGCCAUGCCGCGUGCAGGAAGAAGCAUCUAUGGUGUGUAAACUGCUUUUGUACGGGAAGAAACACUCCUUCGUGAAGGAGCUUGACGGUACCGUAAGAAUAAGGAUCGGCUAACUCCGUGCCAGCAGCCGCGGUAAUACGGAGGAUCCAAGCGUUAUCCGGAAUCAUUGGGUUUAAAGGGUCCGUAGGCGGUUUAAUAAGUCAGUGGUGAAAUCUGGUCGCUUAACGAUCAAACGGCCAUUGAUACUGUUAGACUUGAAUUAUUUGGAAGUAACUAGAAUAUGUAGUGUAGCGGUGAAAUGCUUAGAUAUUACAUGGAAUACCAAUUGCGAAGGCAGGUUACUACAAAUGGAUUGACGCUGAUGGACGAAAGCGUGGGGAGCGAACAGGAUUAGAUACCCUGGUAGUCCACGCCGUAAACGAUGGAUACUAGCUGUUGGGAAUAAUCUCUGUGUGUAGAGAAGUAGAGUAAGUAGUACCACCGUACGGGAGGUACGGAACGACGUAAGUUAGUUAAACGUUAAAGUUAAGUAAGUUAGUUAGGACGUUGAGACGNGCCGACGGACGACGACGAGGGAGGAGG